rnacentral:rRNA from 1 species
UAGGGAAUCUUCCGCAAUGGGCGAAAGCCUGACGGAGCAACGCCGCGUGAGUGAUGAAGGUCUUCGGAUCGUAAAACUCUGUUAUUAGGGAAGAACAAAUGUGUAAGUAACUAUGCACGUCUUGACGGUACCUAAUCAGAAAGCCACGGCUAACUACGUGCCAGCAGCCGCGGUAAUACGUAGGUGGCAAGCGUUAUCCGGAAUUAUUGGGCGUAAAGCGCGCGUAGGCGGUCAAUUAAGUCUGAUGUGAAAGCCCCCGGCUCAACCGGGGAGGGUCAUUGGAAACUGGUUGACUUGAGUGCAGAAGAGGAGAGUGGAAUUCCAUGUGUAGCGGUGAAAUGCGUAGAUAUAUGGAGGAACACCAGUGGCGAAGGCGACUCUCUGGUCUGUAACUGACGCUGAGGCUCGAAAGCGUGGGUAGCAAACAGG